CCUAAACCUCUUGGGGACGUGGCAGAACUUGUGCUUAAAGGACUACAUGCUAUUAUUCAGAAGCAUGAACACAUGAUAUUGCAAACUAUUCUAGUGCACACAUACGCACACACACACCCCUACACAGGAGUCAACACCUCACCCUGAACAUUUUUACAUUAUUGGCAUGUUGCAGAGCACGUUCUGCUUCUCCACAUUUUAAUUCUGAGCUACAGCUAAUCAAAGCACAGGCUCCAUCCUUGGCAGCAGCAGAGCCCAGAUGUGCAGUUCCUGGAAGGAAUCGCUCCCACAGUGUCAUCUGGCUAUCACCUCCCCUCGCCUGGUUUCUCCAGCGGAUUCCAAAGUGGCGAUGCUGUGUAUCAUGCCAGUUUCACCUACGUUCACACCAUUCUUUUGUAAACGGGAGUACCUGGUUCACUUUACACGUUUCUAAACUGAGAAGGAAGAAAUCACAGCAUCCAGACUUCCAUUAGAGGGUCACUUCUCCCCUGCUGUGUGCGGUCUUGGUGACCCUAUAAAUCAAGGUGCCCAACCCUCUUCUUCUAAGGGCUGGGCACACGACUAAAUUCCAGCUGCUUUAGCUCCAUUCUCUCUCCCUCUCCUUCCCUCCUUCUCCUUCUUUUUCUCUCUCUUUCCUUCUUCUAAGACUUUGAGUCUUGAGAAAACGACGAAAGAACAAGGAAAACAGUUGGAAUGCAUGUUCACUGGCUGUGCCCUCCAAGACUGGGGAGAAGUUCCUGGUGCUUAAACCCUCAGGUAUCUCUCGUCGACCACACUACUGGAAAUCAGUAUCACAACCACAGGGCCUGAAUCACAGCUGUAUGACCUCAACCAAUUGAUGAAAAACAGAGGAGAGAAAAGAGGAAAAGAUGUGGAGGAGAUUCGCCUUAGAAGCUGCAGCCUUAAACUGGGGAUCUGACUGCCUACAGCGGAAGGCAGGUGAUGUGGCUGGUUCCAACAACUCUUGCCUUCUCCCUCUUCAAGACCCGGCAAACCUGAUUGAGACAAUCGGGGAGAAGGAAGGGGACAUUGUUUACUAUUGUCUCAUUUCUUGAUUUGCUGCUCCCAUGGACCGAUCUCCACUGGCUGUUUUUUCUUCUCUGGGUGGUCACGAGUGGCCUCUUGGGCCUCAUCCAAUGUUGACUCCCCAUGACAUGCUGGCUUGAGUUCUCUGGGAGGGGCCACGUGGGGCUGCCCCUACAGCAGUUAUCUGACAUGGUGAUCUGGGCCAGUGUAUUAGUUCGCUAGAGCUGCCAUAACAAAGUACUACAGACUGGGUGGCUUAACCAACAGAAACUUACUGUCUCAGGGUUCUGGAGGCUAGAAGUCUGAGGUCAAGAUGUCAGGGUUGGUUCCUUGGCUUGUGAAAGCCUCACCCCAAUCCUGGCCUUUAUGUUUGCAUGGCAUUCUCCCUAUGUGUAUGUGUUUCAGUGUCCAAAUUCCCCCUUUAUAUAAGGACACUAGUCAUACUGGAUUACAGCCUACCCCAACAACCUCAUCUUAACUAAUUACAUCUGCAACAAUUCUAUUUCCAAAUAAAGUCACAUUCUGAGGUACUGGGGGUUAGGACUGCGACAUAUCCAUUUUGAGAAGACACAAUUCAACCCAUAACAGUCAACAUCAACCAUUUCCAUGCCAACCAGCCCCUCUCCAAGCUCUUACAUCUAUUAGAGUACGCACUGCAGGCAAUGAAAGGGCACACGGGAUGUACCCUUCCCACUGACCCCUACAUUGUUACACCAGUGUUUAUGGCAGGACUUCAGUAGCUAGGCUCUGGAACUCCCUGUCCUCCCAGUGGAAGGAGGUGCCUUGUAUACACCCAGCUUGAACUCACGUGCUUUGUGAUUCUAAGUGACUGAGCCUGUCAUACCUCCAAGCAGAGAUUCCCAUAGGAAGUCUACUUAAGUCCCAAAACUUUACUUAACAUUUCAUAUUUACUAACCCCUUUUUCCAAUUCUGGUUGCCCUGAAAUGAUUCUCACAAAGUAAAUAUUUUACUGCCCCUCUCCCAGGAGCUUGUCUGUCUGGAAAGUAGGAGAAGUGCAUGGGAAGAGAAAAAACGGCAACCAGGCAGCUUAGCGAUGCUUUGGUUAAUUUCCUUAAAGGCAAAUGCAGGCCUUCAUCUGCUCUGGGUUGCCCAACGUGACACGAGGACUUAUUUGAUUCUCUCUUUGCAGACCCUAUCUUGUUUUUUUAUGUCUUCAUUUUAAAAUGUCUUCUUUCAAUGUAUUGCCCUAUGUUCUUAUAAUUUAGAAAAUUGAUUCCAGGAUAAUUGGUUUUCCAGUAAAACACAAUGGCAGGUUUUGAGACAGAAGCUUAAUUGAGAGGGAGAAUCACAACCCCAGACCCCAUAUGCCUGCCCCAAAUAAUUGAUAUCUUCCAUGAUAGGCACUUCUGGGCAUAAGAAUUAUAUUUUUUCAACUCAAAAAAGGGUAGAGAAAAGCAAACCCAGAGGAAGCUGAUUUUUUUCUCAGCUCCUAGCAGAAAUGAUAUAAUCCUGGCCAGUUUCAACAUUUCUCCAAAGCAGUGGUUCUUAAAAUAUAUUCCUUG
rnacentral:lncRNA from 1 species